rnacentral:rRNA from 1 species
GAUGAACGCUGGCGGCGUGCUUAACACAUGCAAGUCGAACGAAGCACUUUUGAUUGAUUUCCUCGGAAAGAUUUCACUUGUGACUGAGUGGCGGACGGGUGAGUAACGCGUGGGUAACCUGCCUCAUACAGGGGGAUAACAGUUAGAAAUGACUGCUAAUACCGCAUAAGCGCACGGCAUCGCAUGAUGCAGUGUGAAAAACUCCGGUGGUAUGAGAUGGACCCGCGUCUGAUUAGCUAGUUGGUGGGGUAACGGCCUACCAAGGCGACGAUCAGUAGCCGACCUGAGAGGGUGACCGGCCACAUUGGGACUGAGACACGGCCCAAACUCCUACGGGAGGCAGCAGUGGGGAAUAUUGCACAAUGGGCGAAAGCCUGAUGCAGCGACGCCGCGUGAAUGAAGAAGUAUUUGGGUAUGUAAAGUUCUAUCAGCAGGGAAGAUAAUGACGGUACCUGACUAAGAAGCACCGGCUAAAUACGUGCCAGCCGCCGCGGUAAAAC